UGUUAUAUUUAAACCAUAAUUCUGACUUAAUUGUAUUGGCCUUUUCAGGUCCAAUAUCUUCUUCAGCAGAUGCAAAGUAGGUUUCAAACAAUGUCGGACUCCAUUGUUUCGAAGAUUGAUGAAAUGGGAAACCGCAUAGAUGAGUUGGAGAAGAGCAUUGACGAGCUUAGAGAAGAAAUGGGAGUUGAGGGUUCUCCAUCUCCAUUGGCUCCAUCCAAGUUUAAGACAGAGGAAGGUUCUGCUUAGAAUUAGUCAAGCACAUAUUCUGUGGAAAUCCAAGGACAAGUUUAAUUUCAUGCUGACUUCUCAACAUUUAUGUUGCGAGAAAUCUAAAUUUGUGUUUUGUGUUUUGCUCCUAA